CCAGCGCCCUAUAAAGAUGACAGCCGACACAGAAGCCGAGGGGAGGGAGCGACGGGCAAGCGGGACUGGGAACCGAGACACCCACACCGGCCCGCCCCGGGAGCAGCGCCCCCGAGGCCCCCUUCCCCCGACAGCAGCCUUCCUUGUGUUGUUGGUGGGGUUACAAGGACCAUCACUGAGGUGCAACAAGGGGACUUGACAUAUAGGAGAUGCCUGGUGCCAGAGCCAACAUAUGCUUUCUGUACUGAGGCACAGGAACCAGGUGCCUGGCCACCGUUCCUGCUCACCAUUUAGCCUGACCGGUAGCUGUGGCUUUUAACUGCAUUUGUCAGGCAAAGAACAAGUGGAAGCCAUGCAGGAGCUUUGGCAUCACAAGAUGCUCUAGACCCAUCUCACGUAUUCCAGCACUAGAACCAACUUCUCCAAAGAGCUGUCUUUUUGUUGAAGGAUGGUGUUUAGAAACCAAAUGAUUGUGGCCAUUAUAACUGGGAUAUCACUGCUUCUAGGCUCUAUCAGUGGACGGAGUAGGAAAUGUAUGUAUGUUUACUAAUCCAUUUAUCCAUACAUGUCUGCAUUUAUUUCUGUACCUGUCUAACUGUAUA